rnacentral:rRNA from 1 species
UGCAAACUGCGAAUACCGGAGAAUGUUAUCACGGGAGACACACGGCGGGUGCUAACGUCCGUCGUGAAGAGGGAAACAACCCAGACCGCCAGCUAAGGUCCCAAAGUCAUGGUUAAGUGGGAAACGAUGUGGGAAGGCCCAGACAGCCAGGAUGUUGGCUUAGAAGCAGCCAUCAUUUAAAGAAAGCGUAAUAGCUCACUGGUCGAGUCGGCCUGCGCGGAAGAUGUAACGGGGCUAAACCAUGCACCGAAGCUGCGGCAGCGACACUAUGUGUUGUUGGGUAGGGGAGCGUUCUGUAAGCCUGUGAAGGUGGCCUGUGAGGGUUGCUGGAGGUAUCAGAAGUGCGAAUGCUGACAUAAGUAACGAUAAAGCGGGUGAAAAGCCCGCUCGCCGGAAGACCAAGGGUUCCUGUCCAACGUUAAUCGGGGCAGGGUGAGUCGACCCCUAAGGCGAGGCCGAAAGGCGUAGUCGAUGGGAAACAGGUUAAUAUUCCUGUACUUGGUGUUACUGCGAAGGGGGGACGGAGAAGGCUAUGUUGGCCGGGCGACGGUUGUCCCGGUUUAAGCGUGUAGGCUGGUUUUCCAGGCAAAUCCGGAAAAUCAAGGCUGAGGCGUGAUGACGAGGCACUACGGUGCUGAAGCGACAAAUGCCCUGCUUCCAGGAAAAGCCUCUAAGCAUCAGGUAACAUCAAAUCGUACCCCAAACCGACACAGGUGGUCAGGUAGAGAAUACCAAGGCGCUUGAGAGAACUCGGGUGAAGGAACUAGGCAAAAUGGUGCCGUAACUUCGGGAGAAGGCACGCUGAUAUGUAGGUGAAGCGACUUGCUCGUGGAGCUGAAAUCAGUCGAAGAUACCAGCUGGCUG